UGGGUAGUAUUAGUUAUGUUCUUGAAACUUAAAAAAUUUGGCGGUAUUUUAGUCUAUUCAGAGGAACCUGUUCUAUAAUCGAUAAUCCACGAUGGACCUUACUUAAAUUUGUAUUCAGUUUAUAUACCGUCGUUAUCAGAAUAUUUUAUAAGAAUAAUAAUUUUCUAUAAUUUAAAUUAAAUUUUAUAUCAGAUCAAGGUGUAGCUUAUAUUUAAGUAGAAAUGGGUUACAAUAAAAUUAUUUAUAUGGAUAUAAAUAUGAAAAAUUUAUUGAAAGUGGAUUUGAUAGUAAAAUUAUAAAGAUUAAUAAUUUGACCUUAGCUCUAAAAUAUGCACACAUCGCCCGUCGCUCUUAUUAUUAAGAUAAGAUAAGUCGUAACAUAGUAGAUGUACCGGAAGGUGUAUCUAGAAUGACAAUUUAAAGCUUAUCUAGUAAAGUAUUUCAUUUACAUUGAAAAGAUUUUUGUGCAAAUCAAUAUAAAUUGAAUAAAAUUUAUUUAUUAAUAAUUUUUUUUUUGUAUAUAAAUUAUUAAAAAUAAUUAUAAAAUUAAUUGUUUUAGUAUUGUAUAAAGAAUAAAUAAUUUUAAUAAUAGUUAAUUAGUAUUGUAAAAGAAUAUUGAAAUAAAUUGAAAAA
rnacentral:rRNA from 1 species